rnacentral:rRNA from 1 species
UACGUAGGGGGGCAAGCGUUGUCCGGAAUCAUUGGGCGUAAAGAGCGUGUAGGCGGCCCGGUAAGUCCGCUGUGAAAGUCCAGGGCUCAACCCUGGAAUGCCGGUGGAAACUGUCGGGCUAGAGUCCGGAAGAGGCGAGUGGAAUUCCUGGUGUAGCGGUGAAAUGCGCAGAUAUCAGGAAGAACACCCGUGGCGAAGGCGGCUCUCUGGACCGAUACUGACGCUGAGGCGCGAAAGCAUGGGGAGCGAACAGG